rnacentral:rRNA from 1 species
GAAACAUCUAAGUACCCGGAGGAGAAGAAAACAAAAGUGAUUCCGAUAGUAGCGGCGAGCGAACUUGGAUUAGCCCAAACCAAUAUUGUUACGGCAAUAUUGGGGUUGUAGGACUACGAUAUUCUGUGCUUUAUGAAUUAGAACGCUUUGGAAAGAGCGGCCAUAGACGGUGAUAGCCCGGUAUAAGUAAAGACAGUUACAGAUAGUAGUAUCCUGAGUAGUGCGGGGCACGUGAAACCCUGUAUGAAUUUGGCGGGACCAUCCGUUAAGGCUAAAUACUCCUGAGAGACCGAUAGUGAACCAGUACCGUGAGGGAAAGGUGAAAAGCACCCCGA